AUUGAACGCUGGCGGCAGGCCUAACACAUGCAAGUCGAGCGGCAGCGGGAAAGUAGCUUGCUACUUUUGCCGGCGAGCGGCGGACGGGUGAGUAAUGCCUGGGGAUCUGCCAGUCGAGGGGGAUAACUACUGGAAACGGUAGCUAAUACCGCAUACGCCCUACGGGGGAAAGCAGGGGACCUUCGGGCCUUGCGCGAUUGGAUGAACCCAGGUGGGAUUAGCUAGUUGGUGAGGUAAUGGCUCACCAAGGCGACGAUCCCUAGCUGGUCUGAGGGGAUGAUCAGCCACACUGGAACUGAGACACGGUCCAGACUUCUACGGGGGGCAGCAGUGGGGAAUAUUGCACAAUGGGGGAAACCCUGAUGCAGCCAUGCCGCGUGUGUGAAGAAGGCCUUCGGGUUGUAAAGCACUUUCAGCGAGGAGGAAAGGUUGGUAGCUAAUAACUGCCAGCUGUGACGUUACUCGCAGAAGAAGCACCGGCUAACUCCGUGCCAGCCGCCGCAGUAAGAC
rnacentral:rRNA from 1 species